rnacentral:misc_RNA from 1 species
CUUAACUAGUUUGUUUUGCCAGUAGUUUCCCCAAGACAAGUAACAUAUGGUGGGGAGAAUGCAAUGGAUAUCUAAACUAUAGCUUUGCCCUUAUAAAUUAACAGGCAUGCUUGAUUCUAUAAAUGGUAAAAACCAAUGAUGAGGGAAUCUUUUUUAUUUUUAUUUUCUGAGGGAGAGUGGAAGUGGUGUUCUUACCUAAUCUUUGUGCUAAAUGCAAUGGAAAAUAUGUGUUUAUGGAUCUGUAUAUGCACUUGCCUUUGUUUAUGUUUUUAGAUACCAGGUUUGAUAGCCACAUGCACCUAAGAAAAUGAUAUGCAUUAAUACAUAUAAUUUGGUAACUUGUUUGCCAUUGACAUUGUAUGGAUUAUAGAUAUGCAUGCAUUCACAUCUGG